ACCGAAGAAGAAGUCAUUCGGCAGUAUGGGGUGAUUUAAAUGUGGAAGUUUAACUGAACCAAGCUUUAUGUCGUAUUUAAGAAUUUCAACACCAGACUGUGGAGGUAGAUACUUUCCUUUCCCCGGAACUGCUGUCAUCUGUUGGCGGCUCGUUGUGUAACUAACAUUGGGUAAUAACAAGCCCGACUUCUGCGGUUGUACACCAAAUUUGGCCGAAGAGGAAGCCGCGGCUGUAAACACUGUGACCAACGUUACCUGCGGCACCUGAAACGGCAGGGUGCAGGAGCACCAGAGGAUGGUGGCCGAAAGGGACAAAGACAUAAGAAGGCUGGGGUCCAAGUCAGACAAAAAUAAAAGUGAGCUGAAGGUGCUGCGGCUUUAGGUGGGCAGAGUACGGCAGGAUGAACUUUCCUGCUCUGUCAGCAGCGCUGAAAACCAGCCGAACAACCACCGCGUCAAGUCUGGUGAUGUCGGGACGCUGCCUCUGCCGCUGCAGUCGGUACAGGAUUUAAGAAGCUCUACAGCAACUUAGCCACAGCUGAAGACGAAAAUGAUCUCUUACUUCCACCGGUCUGGAGGUGUGUUCAACAAAGAAAGUGUGUGGAGGACAAUGACAAAGCUUUUUACUAACACUUUGGCCAAAAACAUCAACUGGAGGGGAAGAAAUAACAAGCACAAAAUACAGAACCUCACCAUCAAGAGAGUUAUCCUCAAUGCAGUCAGGCAGAACUCGUUCUGUAAGGAUGCCGUGGACGAGGAGAUAGAGAGGUAUAUAAAGAGAUGGCUGCAGCUGGCAGGAAACCGAGAUGGAGGAAGAAAAAGAAGACAGGAAAAGGGAAAGGAAGCGAUCAGCAUGGGGAACUACUGUGUAGAGUAGCACAAAAUGCAUCUGCAGCACAUGUUAUUUUGACUCUUACAUCUACAGCAUGAGAUGAAAAGAAAAAUACUAUCCCUCCAAUGACUGCUCACAAGGCUGGAUUCAUCAUGUCGUGUUUACCUGUCAUGUGAUGCUACAUGUAAGUUAGGA